rnacentral:rRNA from 1 species
AUACGUAGGGUGCAAGCGUUAAUCGGAAUUACUGGGCGUAAAGCGUGCGCAGGCGGUUUUUUAAGACAGGGGUGAAAUCCCCGGGCUCAACCUGGGAACUGCCAUUGUGACUGCAAGGCUGGAGUGCGGCAGAGGGGGAUGGAAUUCCGCGUGUAGCAGUGAAAAGCGUAGAUAUGCGGAGGAACACCGAUGGCGAAGGCCAUCCCCGGGUCCUUCACUGAUGCUAAUGCACGAAAGCGUGGGGAGCAAACAGGAUUAGAUCCCCUGGUAGUCCACGCCCUAAACGAUGUCAACUGGUUGUUGGGGAUUUAUUUUCUCAGUAACGAAGCUAACGCGUGAAGUUGACCGCCUGGGGAGUACGGCCGCAAGGUUAAAACUCAAAGGAAUGGGCGGGG